AUGCAUGACAGCAUCAUAGACCACGUCGUUGUAAUGCAUCCCGUCAGCUGUGCAUUGCCGCUCACAUCCCCGGGAGAGCUUUCCCACAUCGAGCAGCCGGAAUGGGCCACCAUCACGGCGCAAGAUACACCUCUCAUCAACCUCACGGUCAUAGGCUUUCAGCAUUGUGUCGUUCAUAUGCUCUUUCUUGGCAUCAGUGUUGAGCAUAGGGUUGACAAGCCACGGCAGGCCGAGCCAGAACAUGUGUGGAGGUGGCACUGGGAGCGGCGAGCGAAGAGAGUUGGCCGCAUCAGCAAUGGACGCCAAUGCGUCGCCGUAUUGCGAGGCUUCCGUGACAUGGAGCAUGUGCCAGAGGCCGGAUCCGAGCACGAGCACGUCGGGGGUGCGCGGCGCCAGCCGGAGAUCCUCGCGGAGCAGACGUGUGAGGUUGCUCUCAAAGGGCGCCCAUAUGAAAUCCACGGAGAUGCCCCGCGCGGGCACGGCGGCGUGGUAGUCGCUGUGGCGGCGGAACAGCUCCGGCUCCGCGGCCGCUGCGGCGGCCGGGUCGAGCAGGAGGCGCAGCAGCGCGAGCACGAGCAGGCGCGCCUGCGAGUCACCAGCCACCAUGACCCAGGAGCCGUUGAGCAGGGUGGAGGCGUCGUCCCGCGUCAGCCGCGCGAAGCCGCAGGUGGCAGCGAGCGAGGGCGGCCACGACCAGGCGCGGCCCCCGCCGUGGGGCUCGGCGUCCGCCCACGACACGCGGUGCAGGACAGAGAUGCAGGAGGCGGAGGAGGAGGAGGACGGGGCCGCGGGGCGGAUGGGGUGGAAGGAGGAGACGAGGAGGUGGGGCAGCGAGGGGAGGUACGGGGAGAGGUGGACCCCGACGGCGAGGGAGACGAAGAGCGCGCCGGAGAAGAAGAGCACCUUGUUGCGGCUGAGGUGCCAGCCGGCGAGCCCCAUGGGGACGAAGAGCACCACGCACGCCGCGAGCACGCCCACCUGCGCCCCGGCGGAAACCAUGGACCGGCCUGGCCGGCCCUCCCCGCAGGACGGAGCGCACAAGCGAGGCCGACGCCGAGGUCCACCAGAUCUGGGCCGAGGGGCGGGGCGGCAGGAGGUUGGGCGAGCGAGCGAGCGAGCGAUCGGCGCGACAAGUAG
rnacentral:rRNA from 1 species